rnacentral:tRNA from 1 species
GAGGGUAGAGCUCAAGUGGUAGAGCACAUGCUUAGCACACACGGGGUCCUGGGUUCAAUCCCCAGCAUCCUCC